GCCUCGGUAGCGCAGUAGGUAGCGCGUCAGUUCAUAAUCACAGAGUAAUCAAGGCAAUGUGAGUUCGAUCCUCACCCGGGCA